GACGAACGCUGGCGGCGUGCUUAACACAUGCAAGUCGAGCGGUAAGGCCCUUUCGGGGGUACACGAGCGGCGAACGGGUGAGUAACACGUGGGUGACCUGCCCUCAGCUCUGGGAUAAGCCUGGGAAACCGGGUCUAAUACUGGAUAUGACUCCAUGACGCAUGUUGUGGGGUGGAAAGCCUUGUGCGGCUGAGGAUGGGCCCGCGGCCUAUCAGCUUGUUGGUGGGGUGANGGCCUACCAAGGCGACGACGGGUAGCCGGCCUGAGAGGGCGACCGGCCACACUGGGACUGAGACACGGCCCAGACUCCUACGGGAGGCAGCAGUGGGGGAAUCUUGCGACAAGU
rnacentral:rRNA from 1 species